rnacentral:rRNA from 1 species
UGGGGAAUAUUGGACAAUGGGCGAAAGCCUGAUCCAGCAAUGCCGCGUGAGUGAUGAAGGCCUUAGGGUCGUAAAGCUCUUUUACCCGGGAUGAUAAUGACAGUACCGGGAGAAUAAGCUCCGGCUAACUCCGUGCCAGCAGCCGCGGUAAUACGGAGGGAGCUAGCGUUGUUCGGAAUUACUGGGCGUAAAGCGUACGUAGGCGGUUAUUCAAGUCAGAGGUGAAAGCCCGGGGCUCAACCCCGGAACUGCCUUUGAAACUAGAUAGCUAGAAUCUUGGAGAGGUCAGUGGAAUUCCGAGUGUAGAGGUGAAAUUCGUAGAUAUUCGGAAGAACACCAGUGGCGAAGGCGACUGACUGGACAAGUAUUGACGCUGAGGUACGAAAGCGUGGGAGCAAACAGGAUUAGAUACCCCAGUAGUCCCUGAGCGGGC